rnacentral:misc_RNA from 1 species
GAUGAAGAACGCAGCGAAAUGCGAUAAGUAAUGUGAAUUGCAGAAUUCAGUGAAUCAUCGAAUCUUUGAACGCACGUUGCGCCCCCUGGUAUUCCGGGGGGCAUGCCUGUUCGAGCGUCAUUUCACCACUCAAGCCUCGCUUGGUAUUGGGCAACGCGGUCCGCCGCGUGCCUCAAAUCGACCGGCUGGGUCUUCUGUCCCCUAAGCGUUGUGGAAACUAUUCGCUAAAGGGUGUUCGGGAGGCUACGCCGUAAAACAACCCCAUUUCUAAGGUUGACCUCGGAUCAGGUAGGGAUACCCGCUGAACUUAAGCAUAUCAAUAAGCGGAGGA